rnacentral:misc_RNA from 1 species
AAGUCGUAACAAGGUAACCGUAGGUGAACCUGCGGUUGGAUCAUUAGAAAUUCUGUAGUUGCUGGUUAGCGGGGCUUAGGCCAUUUGAAUGAGGGUGUAUAAGAGUACAGUUUGCAAUGCAAUUUUGAUGUGACAAGUUCUAAUGACUAUGGUCUGCAAAUUUGUGUUGUCCGGUACUGAUGUGACAGACCUUUUGGUCAUUGUCUGUAGUACUUCAAGCCAGUUCUUUAUACCAUUGUUCAAACACUUGGCCACCUUACCAGUAGCUACUUUUUUAGACCAUUGUGCACCAUAAUUGUAUUUGGGUUGGUCUUUAGUACCAGCCCGCCUAUUAACUUCUAUAAUUUUGACUGACUUUGUUUCUAUGAAUCAAAACAA